CUCUACACAUGUAUAUAUUUAUAGAAUUAUUUAAAUAUAUAUUUCAUAAGUUUAAAAGGCCCAUCUUUUCUUAUAAUUAGCACCUACACAUAACUUAGAUUCAGCAAAAUGCAUUAUUGGGUAUAUACAUAGUUCUUUUGCUUGGGAUACAUGCAAAAGUCCUAGUGACAUCACAAGAGGUGCACAUCUCUAACCACUAACUCAAGCUCGGAAAGAGACAUGACCAUUAGCAUGUGGAGCAAGACUGGACAAUGCUUCCUUACAGCACAAAAAGCAUGGAAUGUUUACAAAAAUAAAUAGAAAAAAAUAAAUUAAAUCUGCCAGAGAGGAACAAAAAAAUAUUCUACAAAAGCAAUAAAAAAAAAAUAAAAUAAGUUAAAU